GGAACAGAAUUGCUAUUAAUUUUUAAAUGAACAAUACAAAAAUCUCAUCUCACUAUCUCACUAUCUCAAUUACAAUGCCACACGAUAACCGUAAAAGAACAAAGAAGGAAAGAAUUGGCUGACUCUAACCACCAGGAAAGGAUUCCCCCAACAAGGAAAAGAACCCCUUCUUUACAAAGAAGACACUUAACCGAAUUCUCAAGACAUGCCAAAGCUGUUUCCACACCCCUUUAUUUAUACUUUUUCUCUCUCUCCUACUCAUCCAGCUGUUGGCACCCCUUCACAUGCCACUGGCACCACUAACAACCUCCUCUCUGUCAUUACCUUCAUUUGCUCUUCUAGAAUAUACUUGAAAGGUCCUACGGUUUGGACUAGCUACUGCAUGCCCACCGUUGCCAUCCCAAGGAAAACUAGCCUUAUCCCAGGGCUAAAAUGGGCCCUCUUUCUGGACAGUGCUGGUUUGGCAAAUAGCUUCAGGCUCAAUGAGUGUCUUUAGCCACCAAAUCUAUAGGAAGAGUGGUCACCACCGAAUAUUGCCAAUUACUCUCUUAACAUGAAAAACAGGGUGUACCUUGGAUGCUGGUGCAGGCGCAAUUUGUAAGCAACAACAACUAUUUUCCCACAAUCUCGAAACGACCAAAAUAUUUCACUACCAAUUUUUUAUUGGCUCGUCAUGCCAUGGACUGUUGGCAGUGGGGACGAAGCUCAAGAAACACCUUGACACCGAUAUCAAAUUGGACAUCCCUCCAGUGCUUAUCAGCAAAUUUUUUUCAUCUGUUGUUGUGCCCAGUUGAGGUUAAAUUGCAGCAGGCAGAAAAUUUCAUCACAAUCAACCAAAUUUUGGGCCACGGAUUCAACAUGUGUCUCUCCAUGCAAGAAACAACUGAGGUGGGAGGUGGUCAAAUGGUGUUUGGCAGACAGCACCUUAGAAGGAGGUGUUGUACCAAUACUCAGCCCAGCACAAGCACUUCAACCAUAGCUUAGGCUGCUCCGAGGAGAAAAAAUGCAGAUAGGAUUCAAUGGUAUAGCUCAAGAAGACCUCCAUUUGCCCAUCCAUUCGCGGAUGGUAGGCUAAACAAAAUUUCAACUGUGUGCCCUGGAGGCAAAGCAAUGAAAUGGCCAUAUGGGAAGGUAAAGAGAUAAGGUUUAAAUCUCCUUCUAUAUGCUGGACUUUAUAAACUGUGUUUUGAGAACCAAUCUUUUAGUCGUAAUAAUUGCAGUUGAGGAAGACUCUUGUUUUUGAAGUGAAUCUUUGGGGAAAAUGAGUUGUCCACAAUUAUCAGAAAAUAAUGUCCAACAAUGUCAUCUUGAAAAAUGUACCCUUAAUUUGGUAACAGGCAUCAAGGACAAGGUAGUGCACCAUUUCCAUGCUGAAAUUUUGAUAGCAUCAUUACUCAGCAACAACAUUACAAUAGAAAAUGUAACAAUUCAAAUUCCAAAAGAUGAGAACAGAAAAAUAAAAUGAUCACUUAGAUUAAGGAACACAUUACUAGAAUCUAAAAUUUUAAAUUGAAUUGAGAAGCAAAAACCUUUAAAAGAAUAUUUACCUCCAGAUGGAUAGGCCAUUUACUCUGAUCAGCACUACACCCCAUCAAUCUUACUCCAUCUUUUAUCUGCUUUCCUAUAGCCUUAGUAUCUUAUUAUAACAUCUGCACUGAUCAAUAUAAAACAAUGUCUGAUAUGGACAGAGGUUCCUUUAUUCUUAGUUUAGAUGUUCUACACAGUAAGAAGUGAGGUUACUUCAAUCUUACACCAAAAAGCUCAUCUCAGGAAGCCUAUCAUAGUUGAAUAUUUGUACUUCGCUUUAGAUAAACUAGCAGCUUGACAGUAGAUCAAGAACAGGCAUCCCAUUAGUAUUUGCAGCGAUACAAAGGUCCCCACAGAAGAAGAAUAAUGAAAGAGAGCAAACCAGAAUAAUGAACAUCUUCUUUCUCAAUAUAGGGAGAUAAGUCGUUUCUGAAAUAAGAUACAGCUCAAUGAUGCUACGCAUCGCCAUUUUACUGGUUUUGGAGGCAGCUGAGAAAAUUGAAAGCAACAAGCAUUGAUUGUGGAUGCCAGAUUGCCUUCCACAAUAAGCAAUCAAGGCGGCUUGGCUGAGAGUCAUAGAAGAUAGGCAAAGUUGUUGAGAGGAAUUAAUAGGGGUUAGUUUUGUCUUCUGUUAGAAUUAUACCAUGCGAAAAGUAAGAUACCCAAACUGAUUGGCAGGUAUCACAUGCCUAUAUUGAGUAGGAAUACAAGAAUUCAGGGAGUACAACAUUCCUGGGAAUAUAAUAUAACCCUUCUGCCAAACAUGAGAAAUGAUUUCCCAGUUUAUCUCAUUACUGGGAAUGGCAUGCCACUCCCCUCUACCAAACACCACUUAAAAAUUUUCAUCUGGGCAGGACAUGGAAGAAAAGUUUCCUUACUGCAAACCCACCCACUUCUUGAAGCUUAAUGCUGCUUCUCUCUUUUUUAGUUGUGCUUCUGUCUGGAAUUUGGGAGCUUUUCCCUUAUGAAGUGUUUUAUGGUACUUCAAGAAGAGGGUUCGAUACUUGUACUUGUCAAUGAACAUGUUCCCUUUCUCCAUCAUAUCAACAACUUCAUUUGCCCGAACAAAAAAUCCACCUCUAACAAAUGUAUAAAGUACAGAAUCCAGGAGUUCCUGAUCAAACAACAUUGAGGUGGCUGAAGCAAGAGCUUUCAUUUCACCCCAUAGCUCUGUCACCUCCACAUACUUCCCCCCAAUAGCAGCAUAGCCUGUUACCAUAGAAUGAAAAGUCUGAGCAUUUGGAGCAUGCCCCAGGAUCCUCAUCUUCUUCAAAGCCUUCUCUGCAUCUUUCAUCAAUUUCUUUCUACAGAAAAAAUGGAUUACAUUAUUCCAGUCAUGAACUCCAGAGUCCAAUGUCUGCCCAUCCUCGAUUUCCCGCAAGAGCUUUGUCAUCAACCCUGUUUCACCACCCUCUGAACAUCCCUUAACCAACAUCUCAAAUUCCUGAUGACUAGCUCUACUUAUUUUAGCAUCUUUCACCUCCUUGAACAGGUGGAGGGCACCAUGAGUAUCUUUUUGCAGAACUCGGGAUUCAAUCAAGGCCUCAUAGCAGCUUGAGUCUAGUUGGAUCCCUGCUCUACGAGCAUCUCGUAGAAGUGAUGCAGCCUCUCCUGCUCUGCUAGCUUUACAAUAGGAUUUUAAAAGGGAAGCAUAUACAGAAGAACUUGUUCUAACCCCGGCCAAACGCAUCUCAUCAAGAAGGUCAUGUGCCUGAUCGAGCCACCCAAGUGAAAUGCAUGAAUUAAUGACAUGAACUAAGACUGAAUCAUCAUUAGAAGCAGGGGAAUCUUCUUUCUCGGCCUUGUUGAGAAAGGCAACCAACUCCUUAGUCUUGCCAGAUUCUAAAUAUGCCUUGAUCAGUUUCACAUAAAUUUUAUCAGUAGGCAGAAGAAUACCAUGAUCAGUUGUAAUUAAUUCAACUUGUGUCUGCAACUUUCCUAACAAAGCACCAAGUAGCUCCUUUGCCUCUGCUUCAAGUUUCAAAAAGUUUCGAUCUUUAAAGAACUCUUUAUAAGAAAUCAUACAAUCUCCAAUUGAUGUAUUUUUCUUUAAGCCAUCUGGUUCUCUGUGGUUCAGACUUUUCUGAGAAAACUGUCCUGUAGAGGACUCGCAGUUAUCUUGAAUGAGAAGCGUGGCUGCAGCAAAAGAGUUGCGUGCUUCCUUUGCUUUCCAAAGCAUUUUCAAAACCAUGUUGGAAGCAGAUUCAAGGUCCCCAAAUUUCAACUGGCAUUGUAGUAAACAAGUAUAGAACUGCCGAAAUUGAAUAUCGCUUAAACUAUAAGCUUCAUCUACAUGUCUCUUAAGCUUCUUGAGUUCUUCUCUUCUCCCAUUCCUCUCAUAUAUAUGUGCCAUUGUUAUCAACAAAGUUGCAUCGACUUUAAUAUGAAUGUGAGGCAUCAUAUCAAGGAGCUGCUCAGCUUUCCUUGUUUUCCCAAACAAGAGACACCCAGCCAAAGCAAUAUUCACAGAAGUAGUAUUAGGCUUCAUAGCAAUCAAAGGUGCAUUGCUCUUCUUACGCGGGUCCACCCUGCCACCUUGGAACAAGUAACCUAUCUCAAGGAUCAACUCAGCAGUAAGGUAAGCUCCAGGAGCUGUUUGUGACAUGUGGGCCAAAAUUGCAGACCAAGCAGUCACGGGAGGAUAUAGUUCCAUUUCUAUCAACCUUCUUAUAAUAGUUGAUGCUGGAACUGAUAAACCACAUUUAGCAAGACCAAAGGAGAGAUAUAUCAGAGGUUCUUUUUCCAACAAAUUCUGUUUACUUUCCUCAACAGCCUGUUCCACCAAGCCAUAAGCCUUCUCAAGCCACUGAACAUCAAUGCUUUCUGCAAAUCUUGCUAGAAGUUUAUUUACAAUGGAUUUUCGUGGAAAUCCUUCCAUAUGCAUAUGCUGUUCAAACAGCUUCCAGGCAUCAUUAAAUCUAUUAUCAUCAAUAGCGUUUUCUAUUUCCAUACUUAGUUUGGCUGGGUCUCGAGCCUGGACCAAGAUAGCUCCACCAAAAGUUGAUAAAGAAUGCAUUUGACGAGAGAAGCCAUCCGACAUUCCUAAAAUAACAAUUGGCAAGUACAAGUUGAUCAAAGAGGAAUUGAUGAACUCACAGACAGGCCUGUGACUUGAAGAAACUCUAAUCUGGUGUCUGAAAAUCUGAGUGGCAUUGUAUCCAUUGUUGACAAGUAAGGGCAAAAAAACUGUAGGGGAAACUGCAGUGAUCCCAUGUCUCAAGUUCCUUAAAGACAACAUUGUUUUUCCAAAAGACAAUUAUCAACUAGAAAUCCUGCAAUGAACAGAUCAAAAAAUGCUGUCUAAUACUAUACAUAAUAUAAAAACCUUACCACAACUACAACUUGCAUAGAAAUGUUAAGAUAAAAAUACAGCAAAUUUUGAUCAAUACUGAUGUAGAUGAUAAUGAGCACCAUGCAAAUGAGGAUUUAAUGCAAGUAGGAAUAGUUAUGGGAUGGGGGCAUGGCAGCAAUUUACACUGUUUGAGAUGAAAGAAAGUAGCAGAAAGAAAAUUGUGAUGGAAAAUAUGAGGAGAAACUAAUUUUCCUUUGUUUGGGAAAUGGAAGAAUGAUAACCUCAAAUUUUCCAAUGGAGGGAAAAUUAAGCCCAAAAAUU
rnacentral:misc_RNA from 1 species